rnacentral:lncRNA from 1 species
GUGAUGAGAAUCAAAUAAAGGAGGCUUUUAUUAAUGGAGGAAGAGGACAUCCACCCUCACAUUUGAAGUUCUUCCUUCUAGUUUUCUCAAAAUUAAAAGAAGACAUAAAAUAAAGAUGAGGCCCAAGCCCAAAGCCCAAGCCCAAGUCCAUCCCAUGAGGGGCAAGGCCAAGCUUUGAAAUACUCUUGUAUAGUUUUAGGAGGUGUGGUUAUUAAAUAAAGGAGUGUGAAAAUGUAAAAUAAAGUCACAUUACCCAUGUGACUUAGGAGAGUGGUGUAG